UACGAAGGGGGCUAGCGUUGCUCGGAAUUACUGGGCGUAAAGCGCACGUAGGCGGCUUUCUAAGUCGGGGGUGAAAUCCUGGAGCUCAACUCCAGAACUGCCUUCGAUACUGGAAAGCUCGAGUCCGGGAGAGGUGAGUGGAACUGCGAGUGUAGAGGUGAAAUUCAUAGAUAUUCGCAAGAACACCAGUGGCGAAGGCGGCUCACUGGCCCGGUACUGACGCUGAGGUGCGAAAGCGUGGGGAGCAAACAGG
rnacentral:rRNA from 1 species